GUUAAAUCACAAGUCCCUAACCCACCUGCAGGCAUGGUAUAGAAUGCACACUUGACUAAACCACUCCCCCGUAGGUUAUAUAAGUCUGCCCUCCAGGCCUGAACCCUCCCUUUUCCCUCCAAACAAUUCCAGGCAGAACAAAGAGAGAGUGAUGUGAGUUUAAUGUGGCUUUUGUGCCUUUAUAAUUUAUUUGGUUGAAAUGAGAUAUAUAUUGUUUGAAAGUUAACAGAUUGUUUUGUGUUAUGUUAGAUACCUGAGUUUAAUAUGUGAAGGAGAAAAGGCAAAUUCCAGAUUGUGGAUGCAUAAAGAUAAAAAAUCAUCCACCAACUGCCAUCCAACUUCACACCUUGACUUUAAUAAAUUGUUGGAACGGC